ensembl:snRNA U1 U1 spliceosomal RNA
UAUCUUCGGUGGCAUUGUGGUUUGCUUAUGUCCCUUCCAGAAAUUUGAGGAGAGUGAAAAUAUUGACCCCUUCGAUUUCCCCAAAUGUGGGAAGCUUAGCUACAUAAUUUGUGCUAGUGGAGGACUGCGUUCAUACUCUCCUCAG